AGAGAGAGACAUGCGCGCAUAUCAAUAAGCGGAGGAAAAGAAACUAACAAGGAUUCCCCUAGUAACGGCGAGUGAAGCGGGAAGAGCUCAAAUUUGAAAUCUUAAAGGGUUUCCCUUUACGAAUUGUAGUUUAAAGAAGUGUUUUCUGUUGAGGUUUUGGUAAAAGUUCUUUGGAAUAGGACAUCAUAGAGGGUGAGAAUCCCAUAUUUGACCUUUACUUUCAACUUUGUGAUACACUUUCAAAGAGUCGGAUUGUUUGGGAAUGCAGUCCAAAAUGGGUGGUAAAUUUCAUCUAAAGCUAAAUAUUGGCGAGAGACCGAUAGCGAACAAGUACCGUGAGGGAAAGAUGAAAAGAACUUUGAAAAGAGAGUUAAACAGUACGUGAAAUUGUCAAAAGGGAAGCGUUUGACACCAGUGUUGUUUUUCUGAAAUCAAUUAAAGAACUGUUUAUGCUAAGUUGUUUAGACUUUAUCAGCUAACUGUUUAGUUUUGAGCUUUUCUUUAGUGCACUUUUCAGUUAACAAGUCAACAUCAAUUUCUUUUGCUGUAAAAAAGCUUGAGGAAGGUGGCUUGAGAUUCGUCUUAAGUGUUUAUAGCCUCUUGCCUAUGCAGUCGGAGAGAUUGAGGUCUGCAGCGUAGAUCCUUCGGGGCUAAAUGCAUUUGUGCUAAGUUAUAGCAUUUUAUAGACAACUUGUUGACUAUGAUUUGUCUUGUAGCUUACUCGCUUAUGUUAUUCUACCUACGCUUAGGAUGUUGAGCGCAUGUCUCUCUCU
rnacentral:rRNA from 1 species